rnacentral:rRNA from 1 species
AGUGAACGCUGGCGGCAGGCCUAACACAUGCAAGUCGAACGGCAGCACAAGAGAGCUUGCUCUCUGGGUGGCGAGUGGCGGACGGGGGAGGAAUGCAUCGGAAUCUGCCCAUUUGUGGGGGAUAACCCCGGGAAACCGGGACUAAUACCGCAUACGACCUACGGGUGAAAGCAGGGGAUCUUCGGACCUUGCGCAGAUGGAUGAGCCGAUGCCGGAUUAGCUAGUUGGAGGGGUAAAGGCCCACCAAGGCGACGAUCCGUAGCUGGUCUGAGAGGAUGAUCAGCCACACUGGGACUGAGACACGGCCCAGACUCCUACGGGAGGCAGCAGUGGGGAAUAUUGGACAAUGGGCGCAAGCCUGAUCCAGCCAUGCCGCGUGUGUGAAGAAGGCCUUCGGGUUGUAAAGCACUUUUGUUGGGAAAGAAAAGCAGCCGGUUAAUACCCGGUUGUCAUGACGGUACCCAAAGAAUAAGCACCGGCUAACUUCGUG